rnacentral:rRNA from 1 species
UACAGAGGUCUCAAGCGUUGUUCGGAUUCAUUGGGCGUAAAGGGCGCGUAGGCGGGCUGCCAAGUCUGGGGUGAAAUCCCACGGCUCAACCGUGGAACUGCCUCGGAUACUGGCGGUCUCGAGGGAGGUAGGGGCAUGCGGAACUGUGGGUGGAGCGGUGAAGUGCGUUGAUAUCCACAGGAACUCCGGUGGCGAAAGCGGCGUGCUGGACCUCUUCUGACGCUGAGGCGCGAAAGCCAGGGGAGCAAACGGG